rnacentral:rRNA from 1 species
AGAAAUCGUUAAGGGCGUAUGGCGGAUGCCUAGGCUUUCAGAGGCGAAGAAGGACGUGGUAAGCUGCGAAAAGCUACGGGGAUUGGCACACACGAAAUGAUCCGUAGAUAUCCGAAUGGGGCAACCCAGUAAGUUGAAGACUUACUACACCGUAAGGUGAGCGAACCCGGAGAACUGAAACAUCUAAGUACCCGGAGGAAAAGAAAUCGAAGAGAUUCCGUAAGUAGUGGCGAGCGAAAGCGGAUUAGCCCAAAAGUUUAUAUAUGUUUAGUGGAAUGUUUUGGAAAGAGCAAUCAUAGAAGGUGAAAAUCCUGUACACGAAAGGUAUAUAUAGAUGAAGAAAGAGUAGGGCGGGACACGUGAAAUCCUGUCUGAAUAUGGGGGGACCAUCCUCCAAGGCUAAAUACUCCUGAAAGACCGAUAGUGAACAAGUACUGUGAAGGAAAGGUGAAAAGCACUUCGAAUAGAAGGGUGAAAAAGAACCUGAAACCGUACGCCUACAAGCGGUCGGAGCAGUUAUAUACUGUGACGGCGUGCCUUUUGCAUAAUGAGCCUACGAGUUAAUUUUACUAGCGAGGUUAAGGUAUUAAGUACUGGAGCCGGAGCGAAAGCGAGUCUGAAUAGGGCGAAUAGUUAGUGGGAUUAGACGCGAAACCUUGUGAUCUACCCAUGGGCAGGUUGAAGCACUGGUAACACAGUGUGGAGGACCGAACCGGUUGACGUUGAAAAGUCUUCGGAUGACCUGUGGGUAGGGGUGAAAGGCCAAUCAAACUGGGAGAUAGCUCGUACUCCCCGAAAUGCAUUUAGGUGCAGCGUUGAUUUAGUUUAUUAGAGGUAGAGCUACUGAUUGGAUGCGGGGGUUUCACCGCCUACCAAUUCCUGACAAACUCCGAAUGCUAAUAAAUAUUGAUCAGCAGUGAGGGCAUGGGUGCUAAGGUCCAUGUCCGAGAGGGAAAGAACCCAGACCAACAGCUAAGGUCCCUAAAUAUAUGCUAAGUUGAAACAACGCGGUUGAACUGCAUUGACAGCUAGGAUGUUGGCUUGGAAGCAGCCAUUCAUUUAAAGAGUGCGUAACAGCUCACUAGUCGAGUGCUUUGGCGUGGAUAAUAAUCGGGCAUAAGCUAUUUACCGAAGCUGUGGGAUGUGUAAACAUCGGUAGGGGAGCAUUCUAGCGGCGCAGAAGGUGAGAGGACAACUCUUGCUGGAGUUUCUAGAAAAGCAAAUGUAGGUAUAAGUAACGAUAAAGGAGGUGAGAAACCUCCUCGCCGAAAGACUAAGGGUUCCUGAUCAACGCUAAUCGGAUCAGGGUUAGUCGGGGCCUAAGGGGAAGCCGAACGGCGUACCCGAUGGAAGAACCGGUUAAUAUUCCGGUACUAAUUAUGUGAGCGAUGUGGAGACGGAGAUGUGACGGUCCUGCCAACUGACGGAAUAGUUGGUUGAAGGGUGUAGGAGUUGAUCUGAGUAGGCAAAUCCGCUCGGAGAUCCGAACCUGACAGUACUCUGAGUGCUUGCACAAGGAGAUAUGGACAACUGUAACGGUGCUCCCAAGAAAAUCCGCUAAGCAUAUUGCAUGAUUACCCGUACCAUAAACCGACACAGGUGGUUGGGUUGAGUAUACUAAGGCGCUCGAGUGAUUCGCGGUUAAGGAACUAGGCAAAAUAGUCCUGUAACUUCGGAAUAAAGGACGCUCACAGUGAAGGCUGUGAGCCGCAGAGAAUAGGCCCAGGCGACUGUUUAACAAAAACACAUGGCUAUGCUAAAUCGAAAGAUACUGUAUAUAGCCUGACACCUGCCCGGUGCUGGAAGGUUAAGAGGAGAUGUCAUCGCAAGAGAAGCAUUGAAUUGAAGCCCCAGUAAACGGCGGCCGUAACUAUAACGGUCCUAAGGUAGCGAAAUUCCUUGUCGGGUAAGUUCCGACCUGCACGAAUGGUGUAACGAUCUGGGUACUGUCUCAACCGCGAGCUCGGUGAAAUUGUAGUAUCGGUGAAGAUGCCGAUUACCCGCAACGGGACGAAAAGACCCCGUGAACCUUUACUAUAGCUUUGCAUUGGAUUUGGGUAACAAAUGUGUAGGAUAGGCCGGAGACUAAGAAUCGGGUACGCCAGUAUUCGUGGAGUCGCCGUUGAAAUACGGCCCUUUUGUUAUUUGGGUUCUAACUCGCGGAUGCGAGGACAUUGCAUGGUGGGUAGUUUGACUGGGGUGGUCGCCUCCAAAAGUGUAACGGAGGCUUCUAAAGGUUCCCUCAGCACGCUUGGUAACCGUGCGUAGAGUGCAAUGGCAUAAGGGAGCUUGACUGAGAGACUUACAAGUCGAUCAGGUACGAAAGUAGAGCAUAGUGAUCCGGUGGUUCCGUAUGGAAGGGCCAUCGCUCAAAGGAUAAAAGGUACUCCGGGGAUAACAGGCUGAUCCCUCCCAAGAGCUCAUAUCGACGGAGUGGUUUGGCACCUCGAUGUCGGCUCGUCACAUCCUGGGGCUGGAGAAGGUCCCAAGGGUUGGGCUGUUCGCCCAUUAAAGUGGCACGCGAGCUGGGUUCAGAACGUCGUGAGACAGUUCGGUCUCUAUCUAUUGCGGGCGUUAGAUAUUUGCGUGGGGUUGACUCUAGUACGAGAGGACCGAGUUGAACAAACCUCUGGUGUAUCAGUUGUACCGCCAGGUGCACCGCUGAGUAGCUAAGUUUGGAAGAGAUAAGCACUGAAAGCAUAUAAGUGCGAAACUCGCCACAAGAUGAGAUAUCUUUUAAGGGUCGUGGGAGAUGACCACGUUGAUAGGUUACAGGUGUAAAGGUGGUAACAUCAUAGCCGAGUAAUACUAAUUACCCGUAGAUUUAUGGCC